rnacentral:lncRNA from 1 species
GGCGGGGCUAAAGGGCUUAAUCCUCGUGGCCCGAAUUAGGAUAGGAUAACAGCAGCCGCGGCAACAACCAAUCAGAAGGCGCGAUGCAGAUAGCGGUUCUCAAGCCGCCAAUGGGCGGGCGAGGCUCGGAGUUGGGGUACCUGAGUGGAGGAGACGAAGGAGGCCAGUUCACGUUUGGUUCCUGUUCUGAUUCAAGUCACAUCGCUCUGGAGUGCUCCCAGAUUUGGUAACAGAGGUAAACCUGAGGGAAUCUUCAGUUCUAAACACUUUUGUUGUGAAGUCCCAGCUCUCAGGUGCAAGUGGAAGACUUAGUCCCCAGACCAGACUGAAUAGAAAGAUCUCAAAUCUGGGUCAGUCUUGCUCCCCCUCUGACUGCAGAAGCUCGUAGUCGUGGAAAGCAAGCAAAGCAGUCAUGUCUGCCCUUGUAUUCAGUUUUUGGGAGCCAAAAAUUCCCCAAGUUCUGGAGCUGCCGUCACAAUGGCAUUCAAGAUGAGUUUUUCUCCAGGUGCAGCAGAGGAUAGCGGUAGCUCUCCUGGGUGCAAACAGCGCAGAGGAGAAAAGCUGGAAUUACUGCAAUAGUAGAAACAAAAUAUUAAUCGUUCUGAACAUAGAUUUCUUAGCAGUGUUUAUUAAAAAAAAAAAAAAAAAAAACAGCUAAAUUCUGUCUUUUAAAUUGUCGACACUCUUCCAAGAUACUCUCAGCUCUGAAGUGUGUCCUACAGUAUAUUUUUUGCAGCAAUUCAGACAGCAGUGAAGUGUCAGGAAUGCUACAUCAGGUGUGUGUGGAUAUGUAAUAGCAUUCAUGGGCUCCUGUGAUGACACAAGCUUUGUCGAAGCUCUCUGACUAUAACAGAUCUCAAAUAAGUGAUUGUUCUGAAUAAAUUGUCUACACCAUUGUUUUCCUACUGCAAACAGAACAGAGCCAUUUUUAAACAGGCUGCAUAAAAAUGACACGGAAUUCAC